CCCGGCCUAGAGAGACGCGAUCGGGCGCGGAGAGGACGCAACAACACUAAUUAAUUGGUUACUAACGGCGAGGAACAGAGUUGCCCGAGGCUCGCAGUGAGUCAGGCGUCUGUGACUCCCAGGCCUGUGCGCGCGACCCUCCCCGUCCAACCAACGUCCUCCCACAAACGGGUCACCGGACUGAGGGUUUCAAGUUCCUCCAGGGGGUGUGUGCGGUUCCCCCUAACUCAGGCCCUACUCCUUCCAGCAGCAUUUUCUCUUCUUUCCUCUUUUUAUUUAUUUCAGAAACAGGGUCUUGAGACGGGCGCGGUGACUCACGCCUGUAAUCCCAGCACUUUGGGAGGCCGAGGCGGGCGGAUCACCUGAGGU
ensembl:lncRNA novel transcript